rnacentral:tRNA from 1 species
GGAGAGAUGGCUGAGUGGUCGAAGGCGCUCGACUGGAAAUCGAGUAGACGGGUAAUACCUGUCUCGAGGGUUCAAAUCCCUCUCUCUCCGCCA